UUUCAGUAAGGAUAAAAAAAAAAAAAUCAACCUUUUCCUCAAUUGUGUAAUUUUAUUCACUAUUGACAUGCCCUUAAAUGGCUUUGCUAUUAUUUGUAGGGAACAUUGUCAAGUUCUAUAUUUGUCUAGAAAGUUAGAAGAAGUAUUUAAUUUGACAUGGUUUGGACAUCUUGCUACUAUCUUUUUAAAUUAGUUAUCAAUAAUUUUUCAAAGUUGACCUUUUUGUUUAUCUCAUACUCCUUUUAUAUUAAAAGGUACCGCAUGGGUAUUGUGUAGAGGAAUCAUGCCUUCUUUAAUUGAGAACUUCACCAAGCUACAAAAGCAUCACAAGUUUUGCAAUUGGAGUUCAUGGAUCAGGUAUUUCAGUAGUUUUUGUACCUGAAAUUUUUUUAUGAUACUAAUGAGGAUGUUUACCUUGAUUAAUUUAACACUUAUAUUGCAUAUAUCUAUAUAGGAGUUCUAUACA